CUUCCUUCGAUGUCUCUCUUCUCUUAUCAUCUCAUCUCAGAGAAAAAAGGUUGAGUUGCUUUUUAGGGGAAACAAGGAGAGUGAAACCAAUGAUGGCGGUGAGCUCAAAACCACCGAUCAUACCUUCGACGAUGGUUAUGGGCUUCGAUUCUUCUCAGCGUUUCCGAUUUCGGGCGGUUGCUAAGGUUACGAUUGUGGACAAUGGUUUUCUGAUCUCCAGGCGGAAGGAGGAAGAUGGAGCAAGGUUUGGUGGACUCGAGUUUGAGUUGGAUAAACUCAGGUUGUAAAUAGAUUUUUGUUUUAAAUUUGUUAUGGUGGAUUGAAUUGAUUUUUUGCUGUUGCCCUCUUCACGUCCAAACUACAGUCAAUGUUGAUAUUACCGGACUCCUGGGAAGCAAGGAUUUUCUCUUGGUUAUCUCUUAGUCCUUAAAUUUGCUUUGGGUUUUGUAUUUUAAUGCUUAUUUUUCUAUCAAAUGCGUGCAAAUUUUGGUUUUAGUUUAGGCAUAUUGUGGCUUAACCGCCUUUGUUCUAAGCUGCAAGUCUUUUCAGAUUUAGCUGUGCAAUUGUUUAGUUAAUUGAAUUUUUUUCUAAGAUUUGUUUGGAUUCUUAAUAGACUUGGUUUAUGUUUAAGCAAUUUGUCUGUGUGACUGUUAUUAAUUGUGAAAGGUUCUAUUGUAAAUUAGAUUUCUUUAUUUCAUCUAAAGAAAUAGUUUAAAUUUGGUAAUAUGGAAUGGCUGAAAGGUUCACUUGCUUAUUCUUUGUAAACGUCUUCAGGCAAAAGCUAUGCAUGAUGCUUGCUGCUCUUACUGCAACCUAUGUCAAGUGUUUAAUGUUGUUAUAAGUAGUUUGGUUUACUGCUGAAAUGCUUAGGUUCUUGGAAUGCAGUUCAAGAACCGUUGCAGACCAAUCCAGAUCUAGAGGAGGGUUUUUGCUGAGCUCUGUUGUGCCGUUUAUGGUUUCGUAAGGUCUUACCUUAUAUACUCUUGCUACGUUUAUAGAUUCCCCUGAUUGCCAAUCUUACAUCAGACCAUCAGGAGAAAUGUGACGAGAGAUUUGAGUGUUGUGCUAUUUUGGUUUUUUUUUUUUUUUUUUUGGCUCUGCCACUUAAGCUUGUAUACAGUAUAAUACAAUGGCCCUGGAUGUUUUUCGUUAUUUGCCUUCUCUGCAUAUAUUGAGAGGACAAUCGUUCUUAUUGAUGCCUUUGAUCUUUCAUGUCUAUAAGUCUAUUUAUUUACGGAAGACAUCAAGCUCUGCAAUAUUCUUCGGAACCCAUGCCUCUAUUUCUGUUGCUGUGUGCUAAUGCAUGUGUAAAAUUUGUUUUGAUUGUAAUACCCGAUACAAAUUCGCUAACAUAGUGACUAAAUUGCAAUUUUCAGGGAAGGUACAGCUUUUGCUUAAGAAUUUAUUGGCAUAUAAUAAUAUUUUGCCUCAAAAUUUUGUUCAAUUUGAUGGCUGCAUUAAUUAAUCAAACCUACAGUGUAAUGAGACUUCAUUUUUCAUUGUGUGUUGCAGCAUUACUACCACCUUCUUAUGUGCUUGAAGGAACCCCAAGGCAAAGGCUUUGAGUUGGCAAGAAAACAUAUUUUAUCUAGCUUAUUACAGCUGGAACAAAUGCAAAAAUCAGCUGAGUUUCUGAGGUCUAUAGGAUGCUUGACAAUAUUGUUCUGUUAAGUGUUUUGUGUAUUUAUUACAGUACUUUUUUUUUUGGGAAUUUUGAUGAUUAUAAAUUGCUGAAAUUAUAUUUAUUAUUAUAAAAUACUUAUUUUAAAUUAUUACACCACUUGUCUUUUCUGGAAAUUUUACACACCAUAUUCAAUUUGACAGUAACAUUUAUCACCACGUUAUUUAUCAGAAUAGUAACUUUAGGCUUCUUCUAAGGUGGAAUAUUGUACCAAUCGAUUUCAUAAUCUCGAGGUUCUAGGGUCAUUUAAGUCAAUAAUUCUAAGUACUAUUUCAUAAUAUGCAGUUUAAUAGAAUUAUUGAUGUGCUGUGGAUACCAUAUCUGUCUCCUUUGUCUUUCUUGUUCUAAUUGGUUCAAUUUUCAUCUCUUCUAUUAGAUUUAACCUUUUAUAUGAAUGUUGACUGUUUUUGUUUUUUUUUGUUUAUUUCUCCUCUUUUUUCCUUUUUUUUUUUGCCGUUAUUUUUUUCUUAUCCUCCAGUUUCUCUGUUUUUUCUCUAAAAUAGGCGGAAGCAAGAAGGAGGAAGACGGAGCAAGGUUUGAUGGAUCUUGUUUUAGAGACAUUAUGUUGGACCCUGUUGUUUUAUCUACUAGCUAGGGCAUAAAGUGAAGAAAAUCAGGAGGAAGGAAGAGAAAGAAAGAGAGAGGUUUGGAUCUUAGAGAAUCCCGGCCAUGGUGCGUAAUUUUUCAUUUCUAGCUGCACACGUUGGAGAAUUACAGGGGUUGGUGGUCAUGAUUGAAUUAAAGAAGAUAUUCUUGACCGAGUCGUCAAUAUUCAUGCCCAGCUGAGUUCAUUCGAAUCUAAUUCAAUCUAUACAAAUCCAAUUAUACAAAGCUUGCAAAAAAAAAAUAUAUGUGCAGCUCAAGGAUUUGGUUGGAAUCGGUUCAUGGGCUUUUUAAGCAAGAAGUCACCGUCGAGAAGAUGUCAAAAUGGAGAGAAGAAGACUAGAGGUCAUUGUUGAGAAGCUGAUAUUCGGGUAUGUUUUGUUCAAGAACGUGGACUUCCAAGCUUUUUUAACUCCAUUGAAGUUGAGAGAAUGCUUUAGGUGUCGACAAUAAUUGGUAUAUAAAGUAAUCAUCUUAGUAAACAAGGGUGAUGUAGCCCUUUAUUGUUUGAUUUUGUAAUUAUAAACAUUUGUGUCGUAAUAUGUUUAGUUGUUAACUACUACUUAGACCAAUGUUCUAUAGGAAAAUGUACAUGGAAAUAACUCAAUAGUCAAUAAAUUUGCCUAAUUUCUAAGAGUUAUGUUUUUUUGAAUGUAAUCAAUUCACCAAAUUUCCCUGUUAUAUACAAAUAUCAAACUUUCGUAA